GACAUAGGUGGCGAACGUUAUCCGGAAUUAUUGGGCGUAAAGGAUGCGUAGAUGGUAGAAUAAGUUACUGGUCGAUGCCAAACUCAAUUUGACGGAAGCUGGUAAUACUGUUCUGCUCGAGGGCGGGAGAGGUUGAUGGAAUUCUGUGUGGAGCGGUGAAAUGCGUUGAUAUCAGGAGGAACACCCAUGGCGAAGGCAGCUAACUGGGCAUUAUCUGACGCUGAGGCGCGAAAAGCGUGGGUAGCAAACAGGA
rnacentral:rRNA from 1 species